CAAUGGGGGCAAGCCAAAGGAAAACAAACAAACAAAAAAACCUCAGCUUGCUUCAGUCACAACAGGGUCACAGACGUUACCAAAUAGAGUGGAUUAGCUUUAGUCAGAGAGGUGUUGAAGUCACAGGAAGGGGAAACACAGGUGAAGGAAGGCAGGGAGUUAGAAGAAGAAUAUACAUAGAUAAAACUGGGUGGUAGGAAAAAAUAUAUGGAUCUGUCUGUGUGUGUGUGUGUGUGUGUGUGUGUGUGUGUGUGUGUGUGUGUGUUUAAGUCAAAGGAAGGAGAAAUACAGAAUGAAAAAAGAGAGUAUGUAUGUUAGGAAAAUAAAUGAAGAGGUAGAGAUGACAGGAUAAAAAUAAUGGCAGGGCAGAAAGGAAAGGAAAAAGGAAAAGAAAAGAAAAGAAAAGGAAAAAAAUAUACAGGAGAGCGGACAGAAAGGAAAGGAAAAGAAAAAGGAAAAAAGGAAAAUAAAAUAAAGUAAAAGGAAAAAAUGUAAAGGAGAACAAGUAACAACAACAACAACA